CGACGAUGCGUAGGGGUUCUGAGAGGAAGGUCCCCCACACUGGUACUGAGACACGGACCAGACUCCUACGGGAGGCAGCAGUGAGGAAUAUUGGUCAAUGGGCGCGAGCCUGAACCAGCCAAGUCGCGUGAGGGAUGACGGUCCUACGGAUUGUAAACCUCUUUUGCCGGGGAGCAAGCGUGCGUUCGUGAACGCGCGUCGAGAGUACCCGGAGAAAAAGCAUCGGCUAACUCCGUGCCAGCAGCCGCGGUAAUACGGAGGAUGCGAGCGUUAUCCGGAUUUAUUGGGUUUAAAGGGUGCGUAGGCGGGAUGCCAAGUCAGCGGUAAAAAUGCGGUGCUCAACGCCGUCGAGCCGUUGAAACUGGCGUUCUUGAGUGGGCGAGAAGUAUGCGGAAUGCGUGGUGUAGCGGUGAAAUGCAUAGAUAUCACGCAGAACUCCGAUUGCGAAGGCAGCAUACCGGCGCCCUACUGACGCUGAGGCACGAAAGCGUGGGUAUCGAACAGGAUUAGAUACCCUGGUAGUCCACGCAGUAAACGAUGAAUGCUAACUGUCCGGCUCGAAUGAGCGCUGG
rnacentral:rRNA from 1 species